GUGGGGAAUAUUGGACAAUGGGCGAAAGCCUGAUCCAGCCAUGCCGCGUGUGUGAAGAAGGUCUUCGGAUUGUAAAGCACUUUAAGUUGGGAGGAAGGGCAGUAAGUUAAUACCUUGCUGUUUUGACGUUACCGACAGAAUAAGCACCGGCUAACUUCGUGCCAGCAGCCGCGGUAAUACGAAGGGUGCAAGCGUUAAUCGGAAUUACUGGGCGUAAAGCGCGCGUAGGUGGUUCAGCAAGUUGGAGGUGAAAUCCCCGGGCUCAACCUGGGAACUGCCUCCAAAACUACUGAGCUAGAGUACGGUAGAGGGUAGUGGAAUUUCCUGUGUAGCGGUGAAAUGCGUAGAUAUAGGAAGGAACACCAGUGGCGAAGGCGACUACCUGGACUGAUACUGACACUGAGGUGCGAAAGCGUGGGGAGCAAACAGGAUUAGAAACCCUGGUAGUCC
rnacentral:rRNA from 1 species